AGAGAGAGAGAGCGGGAAGGAGGGGUGAGAACUUCGCCCCGGAGCCUCCCGGCCGCGGGGCGGGGGCGAGGAGGGGGCGCAGCGCCGCGGGCACCCACCUGAGCGGAUCAUGUGGCCGGAGUUGACGGGCUCGCCGGUGCGCGGAUGCAGCCAAGUGGUGGUGCGGGUCAGGUCGCUGCGAGGGAGAAGCGGAAAACAUGCACCUGUUAGCCAGGGCGGCGGGGCCGCGCUGCCCCCGCGCCCCUCCCGCGGCUCCCCCUUACUCGAUGAAGAAGACGCGCCCGUCCCUGCAGACGCCGUAGGACCAGUGCUCAGGAGCAGGUGCCAGAAAAGUGCAGGAGCCAGACAGUCACAGGCAGCUCCCCAGCUUCUUUCCUGAGCUCCAGUACCUACAUCCAGGGCUUGCCUGCAGAGCCUGAGGGCUCAGAAAGCUCUUGCUCAAGGUCUUGUUUCCAUCUCUAACCCCUAAUGGAUCUUUUCAGUGAAGCUGUCCAGACUAGAACCCACAUAACUUCUAUCACCCAGCAGCAGCAGUGUUCCUAAUGCUCAUCUUACCUGAGCUGUGUAUGAAGAAUCACCUUCUUUUGCUUGGGGUGAACCCAGAUCUCAUUUCAUUUAUUUUCUUCAGUUCUUGCAAUGAAAGAGACUGGGGUCACCAGUGCAACCUCCUGCAGUGUCUGCAUUGAUCUUAGACCAGGUGGCCCAAGCCUUUGUCCGGUUCCUUUGAGGAAGAUAUGGAGCAUGACAUUGUACAAGAAUAGUUUGGAGGCUCACUGUCUCCCUGUGCAGCAGGAUCUGACUGGAGACUGCACACAGGCACCAGCCCAGACCGUGACACUGCUGAGCAAGACAGAUGGGAAAAUGACAUUGAGAAGGCAAUGCUGGUGCUGCAUAACAAAUCCAAACUUCUCCUUCCAAAACAUGCUGAACUCUGCUACGAGUGAAAAAAAGGGUCAUUAUCUUUAGCUAAAAGGUUUUCUUUUCCAAACCACCGUUGGUUUUCAAAAGUGUGUUCUCGCUGAAAGUAUCCUUUGUGAAAUCCAGAAGAUAUCUUCAAAAUAAUUCUGUUUUCCUCACAAAUGUCCUUCGUGUUUAAAGACAUCCUACUGAUUUACCUUCUAGAUGCAAACAUGUGAGUAUAUCUAAUUACCUCUCUCUCACCUGAAUAUCUAUUUGCCCAAAUGAAUUAUAUUCAUAGAAUCGAGUUAUGUAUGUCCCCUGAAAUGCACAAAAAUGCACACAAAAGCAAAAAUGAAUGAAUGCAUUCCCUAAUUACUGUCAAUUUACAAUUUCCUGUCACAUAAGCUUUAUGAUUACUAUAUUUAACAUAGUCACAUCUCCUCUUCAUUUUCUCUCUUUUGCAUUUCACAAAGUCUCAGUAAUUUACAUACCCAGCACCUAGAAUGCACACACUAGGACUUUGAUUUGGUAAUCAAAAAUUAAGCUAAAUAACAAUAAUUUUGUCAUGACAAGUCUUAUCAUUCUAUACAGUGGUGGCAAUAGUUAAAUGUCUGCACAGUGCUCAAGUUAUCUGUAGAAGGGAGAAAUACAAAAGAACAAUUAUGUGCCAAAGUCAUGGGAUCAUUUCCAGAAAUUUAACUUACAUUUUGUAAUGAACACUUGAGGGUAUUUUUCUUUUUUUUUUUUUCUUGGCAAAGGACACUGUAAGCCUGGCAGCACUGAGAAACCCUCAGUUCUUCAAUACUGAUGUACCUGUGACUAUCAACAUUUGGUUUGUUAUAAAGCAGACACUCGAAGUCAAUUCCAUAUUUAUGAACACAAACAGACUCCCUGUCAUCCCAUGACAUCUGUGUAUGAAGAGAUCCUUUUUUAAGAAAAGGGACAAAAAAGCAAAGACAAACAUCACAGAUCCUUAAGACUAAAAUCUUCCAAAUUUUAAAUCAAACUGUUCAAUUCUCUGAUGUUUCCUUAGGAAUUAUGCUUUUGAUUUCUUUCCCCCGUAUGAGAUACCUCACUCUAGUCCCAUCAAAGCAUUUUUCCCCAGUUUGGAAUCUACCAUUCCAUGACUGGUAUUACUCUUUUUCUAGUCCUUUUGGCAACUGCCAUUUUUUGCAACUACACAUCAUAGUUAGGGCAAGCAGAGUGUCACAUAUUCCAAACAAUUGUCACAAGGACCUUUUUUCCCAAAGAAAUUUAAGGCCUCUGAAUUCACUUUCCAGGCUCCUCCCCAAGGUUGCUCUCCAUCUGCUUUGGAAGACCCAACACUUCACCCUGGAGUGCCCACAGUAGUAAUAGAAACUAACCUGUUCAACAGGAUGUUUUCAAAUUUGAGUAUAUCAAAGAUAAAACAGAUUUUCACCUCAUUUUUCUUAAUAGACCCGUGAAUAUCUUGCUGCCACUCUGUAGAUCACUCAGCACACCUCUGUGCAUGCUAACAGCAAUCCCCACACAAGGCUCCAGACAAGAUUCCAUUUUAGCAUCUUCUGCCCUACCUCUCCAGAGAUGGUACUUUCUCAGCACACAUGGAACUUUCCAAGGUCUCAGUCCUCUUCCUGAAUAAGCUUUUACCAGGCAGAACAAUCUCUUCCCAUUGUGGUUUCCCAAAUCCUUUUUCCAAGAUCCCUUUGCAAAAGAAUCUAAGAUAUUGAUUAUCUGCUUGGCUCCAGAAGGAGGUAGCUGAGGGUUAAUCAUUCUCCCUCAUUUUUCUGGCAACAUGGAGUGUACAUACCUCAUCACAGCUUUCCAAUAUCCCACUUCUCUCCAGUUUCUUCCUGCUUUUUGUUACAAUCCCAGCACAUGUGCCUUCUUGACAAUCCUCCACGUCUGUUUUUGUCUCUUCCUAUGCUUGGGCUCAGGUCCUUCCAUGGUUUUCAUUCCAUGGUCUCCUGCUACACACCUGAACCCCUUCAGCACUUUUUGCUUCAAUGAUUUGCAAGAGCAAUCAGUUUCCAAAGGCAAUGUGAUAAACCAUCUAUAUGUGAGCAUGACACAACCAGUAGCUAUAGUAACAGGAAGGCUUUAAACAAAACUGGAAAAAAAAAUCUGAGGGAUAUCUCUCAACUGUUCCUCCAUCCCCAACUAUUGCACAGUUCCAUAAAUGUCCUCCUGUGUUCCUUUGCCUGAUUGUAUCUCCACCUAGCCCAAAACACAGUGAGAUAAAAAUAAAACUUUAUUUUGCUUGGCUUAAGGAGGAAAAACAUAUAAAUAAUCACACACAACAAAACUAGGAAAAGGUUGUCUCUUUCCCCCCCACACACACACAAAAAAAGAAGAAAAAUAUAUCUGUAAGUUGCAAAUCCAAGACAGGCAGAAUUGUCACUAUCCCAGCAGUAAGGCCACGUGUUGAUACCUGUGACCCAUCUCGCUGUCACAUGGAGCUGGAGAGCAAUUUCUGACAGUGCAGAACAGCACAGGUAAUUUAAAAAAACAAGUACAAGAAAAAGAACAUUCUGCAGGUUCUUGAGCAGAACUCUUGAAUCUAACUGUGCUGAGCCAAGGUAAUAAAGAAAAUGCUUUUUUUUCUAAUUGUCAUAUAUUUUUCAUUCCCUAGAGCCUGUGUAGGUGGACUUCCACAGAAAAAAGAGUCAGGGCCUCAGCUCACUUGACCACUCAAAAGGUCAGCAAGGUCAGCAAAAAAUUGUUCAGUAAUUUUACACACUUGUACCUGUGUCACACCUUUUCAUUCCUGUGUGUUAGAAUGUGAAUGUCAAAAUAGAUAAACAAUACAGAGUUAAUUCAUUCUGAAAAACUUCAUUAUUUUAUAUAGAUUGAAAGAAACUAAACCAUCUUCAUUUACUGCAGUAUUACCCUCCAAAAAUUUCUCUUUCUUAUUUGACCCUUCCUUUCUUGAGGGAGUAGGACUAUUCCAUAUAUCUUUUAAAUACAUACAAAUGUGUUGCUCUUCUCAAUAUCACUCACUUGAAAUAGAUUUCCUUUUAAUCAGUGAAGUAAGCAGCCAAGGAAAUCAAGAGAGAGAAUUAUGUAUUUCAGUAAGGAAUAGCCUGAUACUUAUCAAACUGGAAUGUUAUUAUACCUGAUUCAAUUUUACACAUUGAGAUCUCUCCAUUGUUAUUGAUUAAUGGUUAAAGCUCUCUAAGGUUGCUAUACAACACUGUUAUAAAUAACUUAUAUUAUUUAGAUACAUAAUGGAUGUGAUCUCUACAAAUGAUGAAUUAUAUCCCCCUUCUUAAUUACAGCAUCCUCUGAAAUCUAAUUUAAAUAGUAGCUAAGCAGAUUAAAUUCAAAAGCAAGAACAACUGUAAGGCAGUUUGCAACAUGAUAAAUUUAUGGGGUUUUCCUCUCAGUGCUGUAGAGUUUUGCCACAGAAUGUUUUAUAAAGUAUCAUCUUUCUCAAUACCUUAUUAGAUCACUGUAAUCUGGAUUUACAUAUUGAUUCAUUCACUUUCAAUGUCAAUCAAGACAUGAAAAUUUAAUAAAAACAACUCUAAUUGCUCCUCGGAGACUUAGCAAUAAUUACUCCCAUAUCGUAUCAGUGAGGCAGACGUCUUUAACAUGUUCUGGUUUUCAAGCAUAACAAUUGCACGUUUCUUUGGGCACUGCAGACUCCUCAAAUCAGCGUUUCACUCACUGAGAUGUUGAAGGCUGCCUUAACAACAUAUCACAUAGGGGCUACAGUUGAUAAAAUUGAAACUGUAUUCUGUCAACAAUAAUUAUGUGGGUGUUUUGCUCAUUUCCUGCCAUAGCUGUCCCAUGGCAACAGUGUGAAAACAGCGCUCAUUUUUUAAACACAAAUGACUGCUUUGAUGACACAUUUCUGGCUCAGGUUUGGCGAAGGCAUGGUGAAAACAAAGACUUUUUUGAGAAAAUAUCACAACUGCUUCUAUUAUAUGCAAAUCUGUAGGGAAUGUGCUAAUUCCCGAGUGGCAGCUUUGCUGUAGUAGUGGCAGAAGUGGCCCGAGGCAUUUCCAGACUGACAAGAAGCCAGCAUUUGCACUUCUGGCCAUUCUCUCCACCCUCGGUGAAUUUCACAACGAAUACCUCAACCGAAGGGCAUUAUUCCACUUAACCCUGCCUUUGGGGUUGAGGCAAAGCAGAUAAAAUCACGCUAAAAUUCCACAUUUUAUCACAAUUAUAUCCAUCUGGAGUGCUGAGAAAACAGCUGGUGGUAUUGAUGAUUUUGCCAUAUAAACUCUGGUACAUAGUUAUUUUGGUGCAUGGGAAAUCAGCUUUGCAAUUUUCAGUUUUAACUGUUUUGAGAAUAUUUACUUUUCUAAGAUUAUUUUAUGGCUUGUGAACCAAGAAGAAUAGGUAUUGUACAGACAGUUCAUAAAGCUGUUAUAAGAUGAAUUAGGAUAUUGCAGGUCUUACCCUUGGCUCUGUGAACAUCUAAGCUCUGAUGUAAUAAGAGCUGAUGGCAGGAUCAAGUGCACCUAUGAUUUCAGCCUUACAAAUAUCAGCUUCACAGAGAAAAGUAGUAAAAAUGAUACCAUUAUGGUUAUUUUUUUCCUAUUAUGAGCACCCCGACUAAACUUGUUUCAUUUAAAUUGAUACUAACGCAAUGAGAAACAUCUGGAGAUUAACAAAGUGGACCAGAUUCAGGCUGGAUUUUUAGAAGGAACCAUUUAAUAACCCACCAUAUGUCCCUGGGAGCAUCCUUUCUUUUCAUUUUAACACUCUAAAGGGAUUUUAAGAACAAAAUGUAAAAUCUAUAGAUACAUGUAUUUAAGAUAAAUCUGUGAUACAAUUUGGACAGUUUUUGCACUAGGGGAAAGGAACACAACUCAGAGUAAGGCAACACAUAUUGUCAAGCUGUAAAUUGGAGUAUUAACAAAGCCCUGUGUGCCUGGAAUGUCCAGAGUGAAUCUUACACUAGCCACAUAUCAAUUGUCUUUUGUAUUGUCACAUGGAUGUAAAGGAAACCCGGAGUGUUUGCUAUCAGCAUCUGAUUAACCACUGAAUUCUAACUAUAGUUUGGGAACAAAGAACAAUUUUAUUUGAUGCCAGCCAUUGUCUGUGGCAGGGAAACAGCACAGUUUCCAUUAGAGGAGGAUGAAUUUUAAUUCUGAUAAGAUGUGGGGAUGAAAUGCUAACUUAAGCCAAAUGAAUAUUCAAAUAGGAAAGUGAAAAUAGGUGUCAAGGACUUGCUGCACUUAAGUCCUGGGUUACAUGAAAACUGUACACCAUUCAACAAAACAACAAGGUUUCUAAUGAUUACUUUCCCCAUAUAAUUUAUUCAUCUAUUCCAGAGCAGUGUUUCAGGGCUUAAUGAGUAUUUGUAAAGCUCUGACUGAAAUGCACUCUCAAAAUGCAAAACAUUAGACCAUUUACAAUGAAUGAAGUAGUGUAGAUUACUGGUUCAGAAAAGCCACUGCAGCUCAUCAACAUGUGCAUUUGAAGGGUGUUUUACUUCACCAGGCUCCUGUUCACAGUCCUGUGCAGUUGAAAGGCUAAGUGUGCUUCCUUCCCACUGAAUCCAUUCUGAUGGCCAGGGACAAAGGAAAAGUUUAGGAACUUUUUCUCUUCUCUUCUUUCACCCCAUGUCACCCAUAUUUUCCCCAUAUGAGGCAAUCUAUCAUGACAUCUCAAAGAACUACUCAGAGAAUAAACAAGAUGAAGUAGCAAUAGAAUGGUCUGGGUUGGAAGGGACCUUAAAGACCAUCUCAUUCCAACCCUCCCACCGUGGGCAGGGACACCCCAGAUAGGUGAAACUCUCAUCCAACCUGACCUUGAACACUUCCAGGGAUGGGACAUCCACAACUUUCCUGUUCCAGUGCCUCACCACCUUCACUGGGAAGAACUGAAGUCACCUCUAGUUCCUUGCAUGGCCAUGUUUCUUCCUGGAAGAUCAGCUUUCUGAACCAGAAAUGCAGAGAUUUCUCAGAGCUUCCUGACAGUCUCUGGUACAGCAGAUCCUAUGAGCACACAUGGUAAACAGGAUGAUCUCAUGCUUCCAUGUGCUGUCUGCUUGUUGAUGUGAUUCUCCUGCCCAUCCUUACAGUGCCAUUGCACCCAUUACAGAUGCUGUAUGCUCUUUAAACUAGAUAAAUGUCUAUAGAAAAAAAGAAAUUUUCAAAUGUUAAUUUUCUUAAACUGUAUUUUUUUUUCUUCUCUGUACACUGUGAUAGUUGCUUUAUUGCUGUUAAUAAAAUCUCAUGUAACACUAA